AUUGAACGCUGGCGGCAGGCCUAACACAUGCAAGUCGAGCGAGCGGCGGACGGGUGAGUAAUGUCUGGGAAAAUGCGUGCUGGAGGGGGAUAACUACUGGAAACGGUAGCUAAUACCGCAUACCAUCAGAUGUGCCCAGAUGGGAUUAGCUAGUAGGUGGGGUAAUGGGUCACCUAGGCGACGAUCCCUAUCUGGUCUGAGAGGAUGACCAGCCACACUGUAACGGAGACACGGUCCAGACUCCUACGGGAGGCAGCAGUGGGGAAUAUGGCACAAUGGGCGCAAGCCUUAUGCAGCCAUGCCGCGUGUGUGAAGAAGGCCUUCGGGUUGUAAAGCACUUUCAGCGGGGAGGCGUUACCCGCAGAAGAAGCACCGGCUAACUCCGUGCCAGCAGCCGCGGUAAUUC
rnacentral:rRNA from 1 species